rnacentral:rRNA from 1 species
AUAAAAUUCUAGGUAGAAUUAUGAUAAUGACAUUGUCUGCCUAUGUGUCUUGACCAAAUUACGUGCCAGCAGUCGCGGUAAUACGUAGAAGACUAGUGUUAUUCAUGUUUAAUCGGUUUAAAGGGUACCUAGACGGUAAAUCAAGCCUAAAAGGAAAUAAAUGAAGGGACUAAUUUACUAGAGUUACUUAUGAGGGGGUAUUAAAGUASUGCUGGUGUAGAGAUGAAAUUCUGUCAUACCUCUUUUCAAUAGAAAAAUAAUGGCACAGGUAUAGGSGAAAGCAUCCCCUUAUGUGAUAACUGACGUUGAGGGACGAAGGCUUUGUGUAGCGAACAGGAUUAGAUACCCCAGUAGUCAAAGCAGAAAAUGAUGAAUGUCAUAGAUUAGAUAUAUAAGUUUAUUCUAUAAAUGAAAGUGUAAGCAUUCCACCUCAAGAGUAAUUUGGCAACAUUGGAACUGAAAUCAUUAGACCGUUUMUGAAACCAGUAGUGAAGUAUGUUGUUUAAUUUGAUGAUCCGCAAAAAACCUUACC